AUCUAUGGCCAUACCACCCUGAAAGUGCCUGAUCAGAAGCUAAGCAGGGCCGGGCCUGGUUAGUACUUGGAUGGGAGACCACGUAAGAACACCAGGUGCUGUAGGUG
rnacentral:rRNA from 1 species